ACGGCUCAGUAACACGUAGCUAACCUAACCUUUGGUCGGAAAUAACCUCGGGAAACUGAGGAUAAUAUCCGAUAGGAAAUUAUUUCUGGAAUGAGUUUUUUCUUAAAUUCGAGCCAAAGGAUGGGGCUGCGGCUGAUUAGCUAGUUGUUGGUGUAAAAGACUAACAAGGCAAUGAUCAGUAAGGGUUCUUAGCGGAAGAGCCCUGAGAAGGAAUCUGAGACACUAUUCCUAGCUCUACGGGGUGCAGCAACUAGGUAUCUUUUACAAUGCGCGCAAGCGUGAUAAAGCGAGCCAGAGUGUUCUUCUUAGAAGAACUUUUGUUUGUUGUAAAAAGACAGACGAAUAAGGACUGGGCAAGACCGGUGCCAGCCGCCGCGGUAAUACCGGCGGUCCAAGUCGCAUCCACAUUUAUUGGGUCUAAAACAUCCGUAGCUUGCAUCGUAAGUCUCUUGUGAAAUCUCAUAUCUCAAGUAUGAGGCGUGCAAGAGGUACUGCUUUGCUAGAGAUCGGAAGACGCAACGAGUACACUCAUGGUAGCGGUAAAAUGUGUUAAUCAUGAGUGGACUAACAACGGCGAAGGCACGUUGCGAGUACGAAUCUGACAGUGAGGGAUGAAGGCUAGGGGCGCAAAACGGAUUAGAUACCCGUGUAGUCCUAGCAGUAAACGCUGCUCACUAAACAUUAGUACCUCCUCGAGAGGUAUUGGUGCUGUAGGGAAGCCGCAGAGUGAGCUACCUGGGAAGUAUAGUCGCAAGGCCGAAACUUAAAGGAAUUGGCGGGGGAGCAC
rnacentral:rRNA from 1 species